UACAGAGGGUGCAAGCGUUGUUCGGAAUUAUUGGGCGUAAAGCGCGUGUAGGCGGCUUUGCAAGUCGGGGUGUGAAAGCCCUCAGCUCAACUGAGGAAGUGCGCCCGAAACUGCAGAGCUUGAGUACCGGAGAGGGUGGCGGAAUUCCCCAAGUAGAGGUGAAAGUUCGUAGAUAUGGGGAGGAACACCGGGUGGGCGAAGGCGGCCACCCUGGG
rnacentral:rRNA from 1 species